UGCGUUCCUGGGCGGGGACAGGGUGUCUGGGGCCUCCAUGGCUGUGUGGAGCGUCCCCUGAGGCUGUGGGCCUCUGAGUGGAUCGAUGGGGUGGCCGGGAGUCAGGCCGGUCCUCCUUCUCCUCCUGCUGUCCAGACAGGGUGCUGCCUGCAGAGCCGAUCAGUGCUGCUUUCAGGACCGCCCAUAUCCAAGAGCAGACUCAGGCCUGGGGCAUCUUCUCUCCACAGGCUUGGCCUCUGGGCCCAGGGACUUGAGCUGCUACCGAAUACUCAAUGUCGGUUACGAGUGCUCCUGGCGGGAUGAGGGGUCAACAGCGGGGGGCAGCC